rfam:Asian citrus Psyllid, Diaphorina citri - Florida Strain, whole genome shotgun sequence.
GCCUAGUUAGCUUAGUUGGUAGUGCGUCUGCCUUGUAAGCGCUAGGCCGCGGGUUCGAUUCCCGCCUGGGGCG